GCUACAUCGACUUAAUUAUAAGUCAAUACACUACCAAUCGACAAGCGUUAUUAUGAAAGCUAAUUACUGGAUUAAUCGGUUUAAUCAUAUAAACUCUAUUCUGCAGCUAAGGGUGAACUCUACCAAAUCUAUGAUAGGACAUCAGGACAGGUUGGGUACAUCCAAAUCUAAAUCUAGACAAUCUAGACAAAGAUGUGGACAUGAAGUUUCUGGUGGGACAAAAGAAAGAAAGACUUGAAAUCAAAGGUGGCCCUGCCAAAUUCAUUUGGGUUUGGGGGUCAUAACUCCUCAAUAUUAUUUGCCCCUUUUCAGUACA